UACGUAGGGGGCAAGCGUUGUCCGGAUUUAUUGGGCGUAAAGGGCGCGUAGGCGGUGCGGUAAGUCUGAUGUGAAAUCUCCGGGCUCAACUCGGAGUCUGCAUCAGAAACUGCCGUGCUCGAGUGUGGGAGAGGUGAGUGGAAUUCCCGGUGUAGCGGUGAAAUGCGCAGAUAUCGGGAGGAACACCAAUGGCGAAGGCAGCUCGCUGGGACGUGACUGACGCUGAGACGCGAAAGCGUGGGGAGCAAACAGG
rnacentral:rRNA from 1 species